rnacentral:rRNA from 1 species
AUGGUGUCAAGCUCUGCAUUCACCUCCAACUCACUACUGAGACUCUCAUUCAGUUUUCUCCACUCCGUGACAGUUUUUGGUUGGUUUGCCAAGAAGCCAGCUAUGGCGAUUAUUGCAAGAGGAAGACCAUUGCACUUCUUCAAGAUUUGUUCUGCUUGUUCAACCAACUCAGGAUACUGCCGGUGCUACGCGUGGGAGGGAAAAGAAUGUUCUACUGCAACAAUAAGGAAGGAAGUAACAAAUCAUGUCAAAUGUACUAAGUCACAUAGGGAGCAAAAGGAUGUUGUGGCUAGAACACUAAGGUCGGGAGUAAUACGUCAUGUCAAGUGUAACAAGUCAUUUCCAUUGUGUAAAACAUACAUAUACACUAUUAGAAGGGACAAGCCAUGA